rnacentral:rRNA from 1 species
UACGUAGGUGGCAAGCGUUGUCCGGAUUUAUUGGGUUUAAAGGGUGCGUAGGCGGCCCUGUAAGUCAGUGCUGAAAUAUCCCGGCUUAACCGGGAGGGUGGCAUUGAUACUGCGGGGCUAGAGUACAGAUGAGGUAGGCGGAAUUGACGGUGUAGCGGUGAAAUGCUUAGAUAUCGUCAAGAACACCUAUAGCGAAGGCAGCUUACUAGGCUGUAACUGACGCUGAGGCACGAAAGUGUGGGGAUCAAAACAGG